rnacentral:SRP_RNA from 1 species
CUGUGCUAGAUGGGGAGCUAGCGGUGCCCUGUAACCUGCAACCCGCUACAGCAGGAUCGAUGCCCAUCAUGAGGUUUGCUUAUUUUUUUGUUCGCGUGAAUAAGCGAUGUUGAUGGUUCAAGCCCUACGCAAUGGAGGCGUGCCCAACCCCGUCAGGACCGGAAGGUAGCAGCGGUAAGUACAUAAUCCAUGUGCCGCAGGAUCUCUUGGCUGGAGUUGGCUGGUCAUGCGGCAAAAGAACAAAGGAAUCGAGGGUGGGUGCACAG